GAGUUUGAUCAUGGCUCAGAACGUACGCUGGCGGCACGCCUAACACAUGCAAGUCGAACGAAGUAGCAAUACUUAGUGGCAGACGGGUGAGUAACAUGUAGGUAUCUGCCCUUUGGCCUGGAAUAACACGAGGAAACUUGUGCUAAUACCGGAUAAGUCUUUACGGAGAAAGCUUUAUGCACCAUUGGAUGAGCCUGCACUUGAUUAGUUUGUUGGUGGGGUAAUGGCCUACCAAGACUGUGAUCAAUAGCUGAUUUGAGAGGAUGAUCAGCCACAUUGGGACUGAGACACGGCCCAAACUCCUACGGGAGGCAGCAGUGGGGAAUCUUGCACAAUGGAGGAAACUCUGAUGCAGCGAUGCCGCGUGAGUGAAGAAGGCCCUUGGGUUGUAAAGCUCUUUCGUCGGGGAAGAAAAUGACUGUACCCGAAUAAGAAGGUCCGGCUAACUUCGUGCCAGCAGCCGCGGUAAUACGAAGGGACCUAGCGUAGUUCGGAAUUACUGGGCUUAAAGAGUUCGUAGGUGGUUGAAAAAGUUGGUGGUGAGAUCCCAGAGCUUAACUCUGGAACUGCCAUCAAAACUUUUCAGCUAGAGUUUGAUAGAGGAAAGCAGAAUUUCUAGUGUAGAGGUGAAAUUCGUAGAUAUUAGAAAGAAUACCAAUUGCGAAGGCAGCUUUCUGGAUCAUUACUGACACUGAGGAACGAAAGCAUGGGUAGCGAAGAGGAUUAGAUACCCUCGUAGUCCAUGCCGUAAACGAUGUGUGUUAGACGUUGGAAAUUUAUUUUCAGUGUCGCAGCGAAAGCGAUAAACACACCGCCUGGGGAGUACGACCGCAAGGUUAAAACUCAAAUGAAUUGACGGGGACCCGCACAAGUAGUGGAGCAUGUGGUUUAAUUCGAAGAUACGCGCAGAACCUUACCAACACUUGACAUGUUCGUCGCGACUUUAAGAGAUUAAAGUUUUCGGUUCGGCCGGACGAAACACAGGUGCUGCAUGGCUGUCGUCAGCUCGUGUCGUGAGAUGUUGGGUUAAGUCCCGCAACGAGCGCAACCCUCACUUUUAGUUGCCAUCAUUAAGUUGGGCACUCUGAAAGAACUGCCAGUGAUAAGCUGGAGGAAGGUGGGGAUGACGUCAAGUCCUCAUGGCCCUUACGUGUUGGGCUACACACGUGCUACAAUGGUAUCUACAACAGGAAGCAAGACUGCGAAGUUAAGCAAAUCCUUAAAAGAUACCUCAGUUCGGAUUGCACUCUGCAACUCGAGUGCAUGAAGCUGGAAUUACUAGUAAUCGUGGAUCAGCGUGCCACGGUGAAUGCGU
rnacentral:rRNA from 1 species